GGGAUUAGAUACCCCACUAUGCCUAGCCCUAAACAUUGAUAAGCCCCCACUUAACUUAUCCGCCCGGGUACUACGAGCAAUAGCUUAAAACCCAAAGGACUUGGCGGUGCUUUAGACCCAACUAGAGGAGCCUGUCCUAGAACCGAUAACCCCCGUUCAACCUCACCUUUCCUUGUCAUAUCCGCCUAUAUACCGCCGUCGUCAGAUUACUCUGUGAGGAACUCGUAGUAUACAGAAUCGGCACAGCCAAAAACGCCAGGUCGAGGUGUAGCGUAUGGAAAGGGCUAGAGAUGGGCUACAUUCAAUAUCUAUAAUGAAUACGAAUGGUACAAAUGAAAAAAGUACUUGAAGGAGGAUUUAGUAGUAAGCAGUGAAUAGAGUGCUCUGCUGAAACUGGCACUAAGGCGCGCACACACCGCCCGUCACUCUCCCCGAGCUAACAGAAAUGCAUUCCUAAUAAGCGAACGCCGCUAAGGGGAGGCAAGUCGUAACAUGGUAAGCGUACCGGAAGGUGCGCUUGG
rnacentral:rRNA from 1 species